AUGCUUAUUGAGCGAUUUCCUGGAGAAGAAAAGGUCUAUUACAGUUUUGACUCGGUGGUUGAUGAUCCACAUAAUCACUAUCAACCCGAGUUCCUAAAUUCACUCACACCUAAUGGCCUACCUCCGCAUAUUCUCAGAUUGAAGAUCAACUGUCCUGUUAUUUUGAUUCGCAAUCUUGAUCCUUCUAAUGGUUUAUGCAACGGUACAAGGCUUAUUAUUAAGGCAUUUCAAGAUAAUGCUAUUGAUGCAGAAAUUAUUGGCGGACAAUAUGCUGGGAAGCGAGUGUUCCUUCCACGAAUUCCUCUCUAUCCUUCAGAGGAUGAUGUUCUCCCCUUCAAGUUUAAGAGAAAACAAUUUCCAAUUCGGCUUAGUUUUGCCAUGACAAUCAACAAAGCCCAGGGUCAAACCAUCCCAAAUGUUGGCAUAUAUCUUCCCGAGACGGUGUUUUCUCAUGGACAACUCUAUGUUGCUUUGUCUAGAGGCACAUCAAGACAAACAACUAGAAUACUUGCAAGGCCAAAUAAGGAAAUUGAUCCAUCAGGGAAAAGCACAAAAAUAUUGUCUACAGGGAUGUUUUGGUAUAAUCCAUGUACAUGUUGUGUACUACAGUGUGAUGUUUCUAAUAUGGUUGUAUUCAUGUAA
rnacentral:rRNA from 1 species